UACGUAGGGGGCAAGCGUUGUCCGGAAUCAUUGGGCGUAAAGCGCGCGUAGGCGGUCCGGUAAGUCCGUUGUGAAAGUCAAGGGCUCAACCCUUGAAUGCCGGCGGAUACUGUCGGGCUAGAGUCCGGAAGAGGCGAGUGGAAUUCCCGGUGUAGCGGUGAAAUGCGCAGAUAUCGGGAGGAACACCUAUGGCGAAGGCAGCUCGCUGGGACGGCACUGGACGCUGAGACGCGAAAGCGUGGGGAGCAAACAGG
rnacentral:rRNA from 1 species